GACGAACCGCCCGAACGUUGUUCGGAAUCACUGGGCUUAAAGGGCGCGUAGGCGGGCUGCCAAGUCCGGGGUGAAAUCCUCCAGCUUAACUGGAGAACUGCCUCGGAUACUGGAAGUCUCGAGGAGGGUAGGGGCAAGUGGAACCGUGGGUGGAGCGGUGAAAUGCGUUGAUAUCCAUGGGAACCCCGGUGGCGAAGGCGACUUGCUGGACCCUUUCUGACGCUGAGGCUCGAAAGCCAGGGGAGCAAACGGG
rnacentral:rRNA from 1 species